GACGAACGCUGGCGGCGUGCCUAAUACAUGCAAGUAGAACGCUGAAGGAGGAGCUUGCUUCUCUGGAUGAGUUGCGAACGGGUGAGUAACGCGUAGGUAACCUGCCUGGUAGCGGGGGAUAACUAUUGGAAACGAUAGCUAAUACCGCAUAAUAGCAGUUGUUGCAUGACAACUGUUUGAAAGGUGCAAAUGCAUCACUACCAGAUGGACCUGCGUUGUAUUAGCUAGUUGGUGGGGUAAAGGCUCACCAAGGCGACGAUACAUAGCCGACCUGAGAGGGGGAUCGGCCACACUGGGACGGAGACACGGCCCAGACUCCUACGGGAGGCAGCAGUAGGGAAUCUUCGGCAAUGGACGGAAGUCUGACCGAGCAACGCCGCGUGAGUGAAGAAGGUUUUCGGAUCGUAAAGCUCUGUUGUAAGAGAAGAACGAGUGUGAGAGUGGAAAGUUCACACUGUGACGGUAUCUUACCAGAAAGGGACGGCUAACUACGUG
rnacentral:rRNA from 1 species